GGAGCCGCAGCGAAAGCGAGUCUGAAUAGGGCGUUGAGUAUUUGGUCGUAGACCCGAAACCAGGUGAUCUACCCUUGGUCAGGUUGAAGUUCAGGUAACACUGAAUGGAGGACCGAACCGACUUACGUUGAAAAGUGAGCGGAUGAACUGAGGGUAGCGGAGAAAUUCCAAUCGAACUUGGAGAUAGCUGGUUCUCUCCGAAAUAGCUUUAGGGCUAGCCUCAAGUGAUGAUUAUUGGAGGUAGAGCACUGUUUGGACGAGGGGCCCCUCUCGGGUUACCGAAUUCAGACAAACUCCGAAUGCCAAUUAAUUUAACUUGGGAGUCAGAACAUGGGUGAUAAGGUCCGUGUUCGAAAGGGAAACAGCCCAGACCACCAGCUAAGGUCCCAAAAUAUAUGUUAAGUGGAAAAGGAUGUGGCGUUGCCCAGACAACUAGGAUGUUGGCUUAGAAGCAGCCAUCAUUUAAAGAGUGCGUAAUAGCUCACUAGUCGAGUGACACUGCGCCGAAAAUGUACCGGGGCUAAACAUAUUACCGAAGCUGUGGAUUGUCCUUUGGACAAUGGUAGGAGAGCGUUCUAAGGGCGUCGAAGCAUGAUCGCAAGGACAUGUGGAGCGCUUAGAAGUGAGAAUGCCGGUGUGAGUAGCGAAAGACGGGUGAGAAUCCCGUCCACCGAUUGACUAAGGUUUCCAGAGGAAGGCUCGUCCGCUCUGGGUUAGUCGGGUCCUAAGCUGAGGCCGACAGGCGUAGGCGAUGGAUAACAGGUUGAUAUUCCUGUACCACCUAGUAUCGUUUUAAUCGAUGGGGGGACGCAGUAGGAUAGGCGAAGCGUGCUGUUGGAGUGCACGUCCAAGCAGUAAGGCUGAGUGUUAGGCAAAUCCGGCACUCAUAAGGCUGAGCUGUGAUGGGGAGAGGAAAUUGUUUCCUCGAGUCGUUGAUUUCACACUGCCGAGAAAAGCCUCUAGAUAGAUAACAGGUGCCCGUACCGCAAACCGACACAGGUAGUCAAGAUGAGAAUUCUAAGGUGAGCGAGCGAACUCUCGUUAAGGAACUCGGCAAAAUGACCCCGUAACUUCGGGAGAAGGGGUGCUCUUUAGGGUUCACGCCCAGAAGAGCCGCAGUGAAUAGGCCCAAGCGACUGUUUAUCAAAAACACAGGUCUCUGCUAAACCGUAAGGUGAUGUAUAGGGGCUGACGCCUGCCCGGUGCUGGAAGGUUAAGAGGAGUGGUUAGCUUCUGCGAAGCUACGAAUC
rnacentral:rRNA from 1 species